rnacentral:rRNA from 1 species
CAGUCGCCACGGGAAUACGAAGGGGGCUAGCGUUGUUUGGAUUUACUGGGCGUAAAGCGCACGUAGGCGGACUUUUAAGUCAGGGGUGAAAUCCCGGGGCUCAACCCCGGAACUGCCUUUGAUACUGGAAGUCUUGAGUAUGGUAGAGGUGAGUGGAAUUCCGAGUGUAGAGGUGAAAUUCGUAGAUAUUCGGAGGAACACCAGUGGCGAAGGCGGCUCACUGGACCAUUACUGACGCUGAGGUGCGAAAGCGUGGGGAGCAAACAGGAUUAGAGACCCGAGUAGUCCCUGUCUCUUAUAC